UAAUGCUUGGGAACUUGCCUUCGGGAGGGGGAUAACAGUUGGAAACGACUGCUAAUACCGCAUAACGUCUACGGACCAAAGGGGGCUUCGGCUCCCACCUGAAGAGAGGCCCAAGUGAGAUUAGCUAGUUGGUAAGGUAAAGGCUUACCAAGGCGACGAUCUCUAGCUGUUCUGAGAGGAAGAUCAGCCACACUGGGACUGAGACACGGCCCAGACUCCUACGGGAGGCAGCAGUGGGGAAUAUUGCACAAUGGGGGAAACCCUGAUGCAGCCAUGCCGCGUGUGUGAAGAAGGCCUUCGGGUUGUAAAGCACUUUCAGUUGUGAGGAAAGGUUGGUAGUUAAUACCUGCCAGCUGUGACGUUAACAACAGAAGAAGCACCGGCUAACUCCGUGCCAGCAGCCGCGGUAAUACGGAGGGUGCGAGCGUUAAUCGGAAUUACUGGGCGUAAAGCGCACGCAGGCGGUUUGUUAAGCUAGAUGUGAAAGCCCCGGGCUCAACCUGGGAUGGUCAUUUAGAACUGGCAGACUAGAGUCUUGGAGAGGGGAGUGGAAUUCCAGGUGUAGCGGUGAAAUGCGUAGAUAUCUGGAGGAACAUCAGUGGCGAAGGCGGCUCCCUGGCCAAAGACUGACGCUCAUGUGCGAAAGUGUGGGUAGCGAACAGGAUUAGAUACCCUGGUAGUCCACACCGUAAACGCUGUCUACUAGCUGUUUGUGAAUUUAAUUCGUGAGUAGCGAAGCUAACGCGCUAAGUAGACCGCCUGGGGAGUACGGCCGCAAGGUUAAAACUCAAAUGAAUUGACGGGGGCCCGCACAAGCGGUGGAGCAUGUGGUUUAAUUCGAUGCAACGCGAAGAACCUUACCUAC
rnacentral:rRNA from 1 species